rnacentral:rRNA from 1 species
CCUGGCUCCUUUCGAACGCUGGCGGCGCGCCUAACACAUGCAAGUCGAACGAGCGAGAGAGAGCUUGCUUUCUCGAGCGAGUGGCGAACGGGUGAGUAACGCGUGAGGAACCUGCCUCAAAGAGGGGGACAACAGUUGGAAACGACUGCUAAUACCGCAUAAGCCCACGACCCGGCAUCGGGUUGAGGGAAAAGGAGUAAUCCGCUUUGAGAUGGCCUCGCGUCCGAUUAGCUAGUUGGUGAGGUAACGGCCCACCAAGGCGACGAUCGGUAGCCGGACUGAGAGGUUGAACGGCCACAUUGGGACUGAGACACGGCCCAGACUCCUACGGGAGGCAGCAGUGGGGAAUAUUGCACAAUGGGGGAAACCCUGAUGCAGCGACGCCGCGUGGAGGAAGAAGGUCUUCGGAUUGUAAACUCCUGUUGUUGGGGAAGAUAAUGACGGUACCCAACAAGGAAGUGACGGCUAACUACGUGCCAGCAGCCGCGGUAAAACGUAGGUCACAAGCGUUGUCCGGAAUUACUGGGUGUAAAGGGAGCGCAGGCGGGAAGACAAGUUGGAAGUGAAAUCCAUGGGCUUAACCCAUGAACUGCUUUCAAAACUGUUUUUCUUGAGUAGUGCAGAGGUAGGCGGAAUUCCCGGUGUAGCGGUGGAAUGCGUAGAUAUCGGGAGGAACACCAGUGGCGAAGGCGGCCUACUGGGCACCAACUGACGCUGAGGCUCGAAAGUGUGGGUAGCAAACAGGAUUAGAUACCCUGGUAGUCCACACCGUAAACGAUGAUUACUAGGUGUUGGAGGAUUGACCCUUCAGUGCCGCAGUUAACACAAUAAGUAAUCCACCUGGGGAGUACGACCGCAAGGUUGAAACUCAAAGGAAUUGACGGGGGCCCGCACAAGCAGUGGAGUAUGUGGUUUAAUUCGACGCAACGCGAAGAACCUUACCAAGUCUUGACAUCCUGUGACAGACGUAGAAAUACGUUCUUCCUUCGGGACACAGAGACAGGUGGUGCAUGGUUGUCGUCAGCUCGUGUCGUGAGAUGUUGGGUUAAGUCCCGCAACGAGCGCAACCCUUAUGGUCAGUUACUACGCAAGAGGACUCUGGCUAGACUGCCGUUGACAAAACGGAGGAAGGUGGGGAUGACGUCAAAUCAUCAUGCCCUUUAUGACUUGGGCUACACACGUACUACAAUGGCGUUAAACAAAGAGAAGCAAGACCGCGAGGUGGAGCAAAACUCAGAAACAACGUCCCAGUUCGGACUGCAGGCUGCAACUCGCCUGCACGAAGUCGGAAUUGCUAGUAAUCGUGGAUCAGCAUGCCACGGUGAAUACGUUCCCGGGCCUUGUACACACCGCCCG